rnacentral:lncRNA from 1 species
AAGGAACAGUGGUUGCAAAACCAUGAAUUCGAGAUAGAAAAGUUUAUUGCGAUUAAUUUUAUGAUUUACUGAGUGAUUAGAUGUAUGUGUUAGAAUACCGGUAAGAAAUUUCAGUGAUUGCAUAUCUGAUUUGCAUAUUAGGGCUUAAUUGCAAAAGUUGAUAAAUAUGAGUUCUAAAUGCUAAGGGAUUAAAUUGAAGUGCA